rnacentral:tRNA from 1 species
GCAUGUGGUUGAGUUGGUAGAGUGUUUGUCUAGCAUGCAAAAAUUCCUGCGUUUGAUCCCCAGCACUACA